AUACUUACCUGGCAGGGGAGAUACCACGACCACGAAGGUGCUUUUCCCAGUGCGAGGCUUAUCCAUUGCACUCUGGAUGUGCUGACCCCUGAGAUUUCCCCAAAGGUAGGAAACUCGGCUGCAUCAUUUGUGGUAGUGGGGGACUGCGUUCACACUCUCCCCUG
ensembl:snRNA U1 U1 spliceosomal RNA